rnacentral:misc_RNA from 1 species
UUCUGCCCAGGAUAGUAACGAAAAGCCCGCAAGGGAAGAGCCCGUAUAAAACAAAACCCAAAACAGCGACCAGAGGAAGCUCGUUUUGGGUUUAUGUUUUAAGGGCGAUUCCCGCGGACUUGUAGUGAAUAGCCUGAAAUGGC